ACCCAGGUGAAAUAAACAGCCUCAUUGUUCACACAAAGCCUGUUUGGUGGUCUCUUCACACAGAAGCGAGUGAAAUUUUGGUGCCAUGACUUGGACCAGGGGACCUCCCUUGUGAGAUCAAUCCCCUGUCCUUCUGCUCUUUGAUCCGUGAGAAAGAUCCACCUAUGACCUCAGGUCCUCCGACUGACCAGCCCAAGGAACAUCACACCAAUUUUAAAUCCACUCAAUCAUCCCAGGUCAACAUCCCAGGUCAAUUCCUGCUGUGCUGGCAGCAGGAAUUUCAAGCCAGUGAUUCAUAGCUUGCUGGGCUCCAUGGGAGUGGGACCUGCUGAGCGAGACUACUUGGCUCCCUGGCUUCAGCCUCCUUUCCAGGU
rnacentral:lncRNA from 1 species